rnacentral:rRNA from 1 species
UACGAGGGGGGCUAGCGUUGCUCGGAAUCACUGGGCGUAAAGGGCUCGUAGGCGGCCAACUAAGUCAGACGUGAAAUCCCUCGGCUUAACCGGGGAACUGCGUCUGAUACUGGAUGGCUUGAGUUUGGGAGAGGGAUGCGGAAUUCCAGGUGUAGCGGUGAAAUGCGUAGAUAUCUGGAGGAACACCGGUGGCGAAGGCGGCAUCCUGGACCGGUAUUGACGCUGAGGCGCGAAAGCCAGGGGAGCAAACGGG